GAAAGCUUGAGCAAUGCCGCCUUUGACAAUCAUGAUUCUGCAGUUGCUGUCAGCUCCAACAGCCGGUGUCUGAGCGAAGCCAUGCCGUCCAGUCAUUUCCAUGCUGGAACCUCGCGUUAGGCACGUGGAGAUCACGCUGUACCUGCAGAGCAUAUGGAUUCUUCCCUCGGCUGUGAACCAACUGAGGCCGACUGCACUGCAGGGCGGCACGGUGACAGUGCACACAAUCAAUCUACCCUCCUUGAAGAAGUCACAGUGCCCGACCACAAGCUAACAGGCUACAAGGGAAGAGAAGCAGCUGAGACGUGGCAGGCUCUCUGGAGUGACUUCAGUCAAGCGAUUUCAUCAAACACAAGGCUUUAGAGCAGGGGAGCAAAUCAAGGGAGACCUGAGUGUUUUCUACCUCCCCAGCUUCCAUUUCUGCUCUUGGAGCUCAUCAGCAGUUUGGAGAAUGGGGAGGAAGAUAACUACAUAUACCUCAUUACCAGUUCCAGAAAAAGAAAUCACCUGUGAUACUAAGAAUUUAAAAAUUACUGCUCAAGGCUUUCCCACAACUGUCUCCAAGUACAGUUGCACCUAUAGGACGAAGGGAGAGAAAGAAUAAACGGUCAGCUGGUCACAUGGUGAUGCUGUCACGCCUUUGUAUUUACUUUAAAGUUGGACUGAAUAAAUUUGCAUAAUUCCUGGGA